UUGAAAUAUAGAAUGGAGGUGUAGGACUUUAGCUCAAUGGCUCUGGGCCGCCUAGCAAGUGCAAAGUUCUGAGUUUGAACCCUAAUACUGAAAAAAAGAAAAAAGAAACAUAGAAUGGAAUGUAUUACUAACCUAACUGAAGAGAAGCUUAAAGGCUGAGAAGCGAUUCCCAACGUGUACUGAGAGAAAAUCUCUACAAGGAGC
rnacentral:lncRNA from 1 species